rnacentral:rRNA from 1 species
AGGGAAUCUUCCGCAAUGGGCGAAAGCCUGACGGAGCAACGCCGCGUGAGUGAUGAAGGUCUUCGGAUCGUAAAACUCUGUUAUUAGGGAAGAACAUAUGUGUAAGUAACUGUGCACAUCUUGACGGUACCUAAUCAGAAAGCCACGGCUAACUACGUGCCAGCAGCCGCGGUAAUACGUAGGUGGCAAGCGUUAUCCGGAAUUAUUGGGCGUAAAGCGCGCGUAGGCGGUUUUUUAAGUCUGAUGUGAAAGCCCACGGCUCAACCGUGGAGGGUCAUUGGAAACUGGAAAACUUGAGUGCAGAAGAGGAAAGUGGAAUUCCAUGUGUAGCGGUGAAAUGCGCAGAGAUAUGGAGGAACACCAGUGGCGAAGGCGACUUUCUGGUCUGUAACUGACGCUGAUGUGCGAAAGCGUGGGGAUCAAACAGGAUUAGAUACCCUGGUAGUCCACGCCGUAAACGAUGAGUGCUAAGCGUUAGGGGGUUUCCGCCCCUUAGUGCUGCAGCUAACGCAUUAAGCACUCCGCCUGGGGAGUACGACCGCAAGGUUG